rnacentral:rRNA from 1 species
GUUUGAUCCUGGCUCAGAGCGAACGUUAGCGGCAGGCUUAACACAUGCAAGUCGAGCGAGAAAGGGGCUUCGGCUCCGAGUAAAGCGGCGGACGGGUGCGUAACACGUGGAUAAUCUGCCUCGUGGCGGGGGACAACAGUCCGAAAGGACUGCUAAUACCGCAUGUCAGGUCGGAAACUCCGGUUUCUGACGAAAAAGAGGGCGUCCGCAAGGAGCUCUCACCACGAGAUGAGUCCGCGUCCCAUCAGCUAGUUGGCGGUGUAAUGGACCACCAAGGCUUAGACGGGUAGCUGGUCUGAGAGGAUGACCAGCCACACUGGGACUGAGACACGGCCCAGACUCCUACGGGAGGCAGCAGUGGGGAAUAUUGGACAAUGGGGCGAAAGCCUGAUCCAGCCAUGCCGCGUGAGUGAUGAAGGCCUCGGUCGUAAG